GGCGGCAGGCCUAACACAUGCAAGUCGAGCGGAAACGACACUAACAAUCCUUCGGGUGCGUUAAUGGGCGUCGAGCGGCGGACGGGUGAGUAAUGCCUAGGAAAUUGCCUUGAUGUGGGGGAUAACCAUUGGAAACGAUGGCUAAUACCGCAUGAUGCCUACGGGCCAAAGAGGGGGACCUUCGGGCCUCUCGCGUCAAGAUAUGCCUAGGUGGGAUUAGCUAGUUGGUGAGGUAAUGGCUCACCAAGGCGACGAUCCCUAGCUGGUCUGAGAGGAUGAUCAGCCACACUGGAACUGAGACACGGUCCAGACUCCUACGGGAGGCAGCAGUGGGGAAUAUUGCACAAUGGGCGAAAGCCUGAUGCAGCCAUGCCGCGUGUAUGAAGAAGGCCUUCGGGUUGUAAAGUACUUUCAGUUGUGAGGAAGGGUGUGUAGUUAAUAGCUGCGCAUCUUGACGUUAGCAACAGAAGAAGCACCGGCUAACUCCGUGCCAGCAGCCGCGGUAAUACGGAGGGUGCGAGCGUUAAUCGGAAUUACUGGGCGUAAAGCGCAUGCAGGUGGUUCAUUAAGUCAGAUGUGAAAGCCCGGGGCUCAACCUCGGAACUGCAUUUGAAACUGGUGAACUAGAGUACUGUAGAGGGGGGUAGAAUUUCAGGUGUAGCGGUGAAAUGCGUAGAGAUCUGAAGGAAUACCAGUGGCGAAGGCGGCCCCCUGGACAGAUACUGACACUCAGAUGCGAAAGCGUGGGGAGCAAACAGGAUUAGA
rnacentral:rRNA from 1 species